CACCUUUGACUAGCAGGCUGAACCAGGUGAGAGUAGCUGAUGGGUCUCAAACCCUUGGUCAGUUAGAGACUUCCCCUGCAUUUGAAGACAGGCCUCAGCAGAUUGAGUGGAUAAGACCAAUAGUGGGUCCAAUGGUCAAGAAGGCGAUUUCUGCACUUGUUGUAGAGGGAAGUGAGGGGCAGGUGGGGCUCUUCAAACUAGGAAGCUAGCCCUCUGCAGCCUUGGGGGAUAUCUUCAGGAGAAGAAAAGGCUAAGGAGUAAACAUUACACAAAUCUGGAGUCCCUUAGAUGGUUGGACGGCACCAACAUUAUUUUUGAAAUUUGUUUUCGCUUUUCAAAUUUCUUCACUUCCUCCAGACUUCUGCUCUGCGUAACAAUUUUCUUGAUGAGGAGGUGUACAGAACUCAAGAGCUUGCUACUAUUUUGCAACAUUUCCACUGGUCUUGAUCAAGGCAUUGCCCAGCUGUAGAUUUUGAAGGGACUUUUCUUCUUCUCUUGGACGAAUGUAGCUACCUUUGCUUUUUUAUGUGUGUUGGAGAACAUGAGAUGGAGAAAAAUGGCAGACUAUAGUUUGUAACAUGGUUGGGAAAAGUGUGCCCCUUCCCUCCUCUGCUAUUGUUGUAUUCGUUGUCAAAUAAAUGAAAACCAAUAAAAAAUAUUUUAAAACAAGAGAAAAAUGUAUACUACAUGGGGCAUGUCUUCAUUUGCCCCAACAGUUGCUUGUCCCGUGCUGGUAAGAGGUGUCAGUGUCUUGUCAUCAACUACUGUGUGAACCUAUCUGGUUCCUCACUUCCCUACACUAUAAAUGAAGUCUGGCUUGACCCAGUUCCCCAGGACAGUUUCCCAUGAAUGGCAGACACUUCCCACUUCCCCAAAUUUCGGGUUUUGAGGGUCCCUCCUCCAGCCCUUCCACCUGAGAUCCUCUGAGGGUGAUGUUGGGGACAGACAGCUGGUCCUUGUGGAUGCAAAGCACAUACAGGUCUGCUACUGACAGCAGCCAGAUUAAAGUCCAGCCUCUGUGAUUUAUAUUCCAGAAGGAGAAAUCAGAUUUUUCUGAAGGUGAAACAGGCAAUCAGCCUGAUUGCUAAUUAGCACCUCGGCCUUAAAAUGCUAGCAUGGGUGAUGUCAGGAUGAAACCCUGCCUGUGCCAGUAGAGAGAUACCUUAAGUGGCAGGCUAAAAGGCAUUUUUUUCCCAUUCAGGGAGGAAAUAACGGUAUUUCAGGUUGUCAGCGCUGUGAUUGAUCAGGGAGACAUUAUGCAGAUAAGCUUUUUGCAUUUUGGUUGACAUUGUGCUGGAAUUUACAUCUUGCUGGGCUGAGUGUUUUGCAGACAGCUGGAAAUAGGAAUAUACUAUACCUUGAAGUGUAUACCAGUGUCAGAUUUGUUGGCUGCAAUCCACCUCCCCCCCUUUGGGCUUGCAGAACAGCCUGCAUUGUACUUUUCCUUUCCGACAUGCCUCCCACAUAAGGAUUCAUCCCAAUUUAUUGAUUUCAGCAGUACUGGGCCCUUAAGCCAGGACAGGACUAGUUUCCUACUGCUGGAAUCUGGCAGCUCAGGGAACAAAACUAGCAUGGGUUAUAGAUGGAGCCUGGCAGUUCCUGGAGGGGGUGGGCAAAGAUGAGCAUCCUCAGAAGUUUGUUGGCUUUUCAGAAGAGAUGGACCCUUCUUUGCAACUAAAGAAAACAAAUGCCUUCUGAAAAUGGCCCUCAGCUGUGCUUAUAUUUUGGGAGGAAACACAAAUAGGGAGAGAAAUGUUUGCCUGCUGAUGGCUGCAGUGUGGUCCCUCACCCUCUCCUAAUUCUUUCUUCACAAAUGCUGUUACAAAAGGAGAGGAGCGGGAAAUGCAACACUGCAGUGAAAAACGCAUUUAUUUUCUUUUUUACAAGAAUGUUCUUUCUUGAUACAACCUUCCUUUUGCUGGGUUGAAAACACCCCUGCAAAAUGCUGGUUGCAGCUCUGCUUCUCAGACCUCCAUAUUGGUUUCAUGACACAGAAUGCAUACCUCGGUUUGAACAAUAAAUUGUGGUUGGUUGACAGCAGUACUGCAUUGGGAACAGUUCAUAAUACUCCUCUGGGUGGGGAGAUCAGUAUGUGCAUAUGUGUGCGCCAAUUAAAUGCACUGCACUCAAAGGAAUCCUGAAGCAAUUAUGUGAUCUGACUAAGAUUUGCUUUUUGUUUAAUGUUUUAAUCAAUGCACCAUUACACUCAUGCACAUCAGGAAAAAGAAGCACCGGGCUGAAAACCGUAGCAAGUGACAGAUGUCCAGUGCUUGGAACAAAGUGUAGACAUCAGAAACAGAAUUAUGGUGAACCACUAAUGUAUCAGUGACACUCUGCAAACAAGAGUGCAGAAUUCAGUCCCCUCAAAUACAGGGAGAGAGUCAGAUGGGAAGAACUUUGUAAUAAUUACAUGGCAUUUUGUGUGACUAUUUAUUUUGUCGUUUGUUUGUUUAUUACAGUGGUACCUCUAGUUACGGACUUGAUCCAUUCCAGGGUGCCAUUUGCACCCUGAAAAGUCCAUAACUAGAGCGCCGCUUCUGCGCACACCUGUGCGGUGAAACCCGGAAGUAUACACUUCCAGGUUUUCUGCGUUCACAAGCUGAAAAGAUGCAACAUGAACACGAGGUAUGACUGUAUAAGCAUUCCACUCUUUAAUGAAAGGUCACUGUGCCUUCAAAAUAAAGUAUAAUACAUUAAGGGCAUAUGGAAGUAUUUAGCAGUCCCUGGCAACUGAUGUCAGGGUCCAGGUUCCAGACUCUUCCCUCCAGAGGGUUGGGACAGUAGGAUGUGCAGGUGGAUUUAUGAGACAGCUGGUGUUAAGAUGCCUACUCACCGUUUGCUAGGCAUCUAAACAGCUCCAAGAUGAAGGUGUCUGGAGCAACAAAACAUAAUAGACAAAAGCAUUUCCAUUUGGUAAAGGGCGCAGUCACUGCCCUGGGUGAAAGCCUACAGUUUCCCUGAAUAUAAGGGUCCAAACUAAGUCAGCUGCACUUAGAACCCAUUGAAAUGUGAAAAAGUAGUCACCAAAGUCCCAUUGAUUUCAGUUGGGCUAAGUGUUAUUCUGGAUGAAGCUGAGAGUCAACCUCCCCUCCUUCUUAGCUUUCAGGAAGUAGCUUCCCUUUCUACACUAGAAAAUUAAAUGUGCAAAUGUUUUUAAUGUGUCUUUCCCCUUUGUAAAAAAAAACAAAAAACAGCUGAGAAGUGGGUGGGGGAGAGUAUAAUCAGGACAUAUGAGUAAAGGCAAUAGAAAGUGAUAGAACGCAUUGCUACCGUUUGUGGAGUAGAAGGGAACAAUGUUAAAGAAUAUAAAACUGUGUGGGGAAAACAACGGCGGUAUAAACAGUACAAUGAGAAUGAUUGGAAGACUCGUUUUGUCAGAAGUCUUUUUUUAUUUAAGUGUUUAUUUAAGUAUUAAUUAGGAAGAUUAAGUUUUUUAUGCACGUAAAUCUGCUUUUCUUUCUUUUUUCUGUAUUUUCUUCUUUUCUUUUUUCUUAAUUCUUUUUUCUUUAAUUUUCUUUUUGUAGUAUGAGAUUGUAAAUUCUUUGUAUAUGUGUGUAGUUUAAAUUAAUAAAGUUUUUUUUUAAAAAAAAGAACACAUUGCUUUGCAUAUAGAAGGUCUGACGCUCAGUCUCUUUCAUCUCCAGGCAAAUGGUAGGGAAGGGCCUUGUCUGAAAUUCCGAAGAGCUUCUGCCAGCCAGACUAGACAAUACUGGUGUCAGAGACAUGGCCGGCAGAGAGGAGUCUGCAGAGAGGGAAGGAAGAGGCAGAAGAAAACAGGAACUUGAUUCUUUUGCACAACAAAAGUGAAGUAAGCCCUUCUCGCUCUGGAAUUUUCGCAGCAGCACAGAGAUGCAGAAGCAGGAGACAGGUGGUAGGAGGGGGUUAGAUUCAACUCCAGAGGAGGAGGAAUUGGCUGCACCUGAGUCUCCAAGAAGUAGGAGGCGGAGCAAGCGAUUACAGCAAAGGAAGACCAGCUGGAAGCUGAGGCGGGCCUGGGGUAUAUCUGGCUUUGGGAAGGGCAGGAAGCCAGUCAAGUCAACUGACUCCGACAGUGAGGAAUGAGUUGUGGGAGGCUCGGAUUGCUGAAAGUCUGUUAUUGCUAAAUAAACC